GACGAACCGUGCGAACGUUGUUCGGAAUAACUGGGCUUAAAGGGUGCGUAGGCGGGUCCGCCAGUCUGUGGUGAAAUCCUCCCGCUCAACGGGAGAACUGCCGUGGAUACUGCGGACCUCGAGGAAGAUAGGGGCGUGCGGAACAGUUGGUGGAGCGGUGAAAUGCGUUGAUAUCAACUGGAACUCCGGUGGCGAAGGUGGCACGCGGGGUCUUUUCUGACUCUGAGGCACGAAAGCUAGGGGAGCAAACGGG
rnacentral:rRNA from 1 species